rnacentral:rRNA from 1 species
AAGCGCGCGCAGGCGGUCUUUUAAGUCUGAUGUGAAAGCCCCCGGCUUAACCGGGGAGGGUCAUUGGAAACUGGAAGACAGGAGUGCAGAAGAGGAGAGUGGAAUUACACGUGUAGCCGUGAAAUGCGUAGAUAUGUGGAGGACCACCAGUGGCGAAGGCGACUCUCUGGUCUGUAACUGACGCUGAGGCGCGAAAGCGUGGGGAGCAAACAGGAUUAGAUACCCUGGUAGUCCACGCCGUAAACGAUGAGUGCUAAGUGUUAGGGGGUUUCCGCCCCUUAGUGCUGCAGCUAACGCAUUAAGCACUCCGCCUGGGGAGUACGACCGCAAGGUUGAAACUCAAAGGAAUUGACGGGGGCCCGCACAAGCGGUGGAGCAGGUGGUUUAAUUCGAAGCAACGCGAAGAACCUUACCAGGUCUUGACAUCCUUUGACCACUCUGGAGACAGAGCUUUCCCUUCGGGGACAAAGUGACAGGUGGUGCAUGGUUGUCGUCAGCUCGUGUCGUGAGAUGUUGGGUUAAGUCCCGCAACGAGCGCAACCCUUGAUUUUAGUUGCCAGCAUUUAGUUGGGCACUCUAAAGUGACUGCCGGUGCAAGCCGGAGGAAGGUGGGGAUGACGUCAAAUCAUCAUGCCCCUUAUGACCUGGGCUACACACGUGCUACAAUGGAUAGUACAAAGGGUCGCGAAGCCGCGAGGUGGAGCUAAUCCCAUAAAACUAUUCUCAGUUCGGAUUGUAGGCUGCAACUCGCCUACAUGAAGCCGGAAUCGCUAGUAAUCGUGGAUCAGCAUGCCACGGUGAAUACGUUCCCGGGCCUUGUACACACCGCCCGUCACACCACGAGAGUUUGUAACACCCGAAGUCGGUAGGGUAACCUUUAUGGAGCCAGCCGCCGAAGGUGGGACAGAUAAUUGGGGUGAAGUCGUAACAAGGUAGCCGUAUCGGAAGGUGCGGCUGGAUCACCUCCUUU